CUGUCAACCGCUGAAAGUUACUUCAUGGAAUAGGUGAGCUUCAGAACGGAUCAUCGAGGAAUGGAAUAAGGUUGCCUGGUCUGAUGAAUCAUGUUUUCUUUUAGAUCAGGUGGAUUGCCAGGUGCGUGUAUUGUUUACCUUGGGAAGAUAUGGCAGCAGGAUGCACUAUGGAAAGAAGGUCGGCAGUGACAGUGUUAUGCUCUAGGGUUAGGCAAUGUUUUGCUGGCAAAUCUUGGGUCCUGGUAUUCUUGUGUCUGGCUUUUUUUCUCUGGAUAAAAAGUGAGUAAAUUGUUUUAUUUUUAUGUAAUUGUUUUCUUUUAUACGGGGUGUGCAACCUAAUUGAUUAGGGGAAUCAGGGUUGUACCGUUAGGAAUACAGAUAUCUAUUUCUAAUGUUACAGUGUUCCUUUAAGUUUUUAGCAGUUUCAGUUACAGUAGCUCCUUAGGAACAUCAAUGAACCUUGAGCGCCCAUGACCCUAACACCAGUUCACUGUUUGCCCUUCCUUCCACCACUUUUGGUAGUUACUAACCACGGCAUGUUGGGAACAUGCACACAAGACUUGCUGUUUUGGAGAUGCUCUGACCCAGUCUUUUCGCUUGCUUUUAGCUCAUGAAAUUCAAGAACUGACUGUUCACUUGCUGCCUAAUAUAUCCCACCCCAUGACACGUGCCAUUGUAAGGAUAUAAUCAAUGUUAUACACUUUACCUGUCAGUGGUUUUAAUGUUGUGACUGAUCAGUGUACAUGAAAUUCACGUAUAUUGUGAUAUACCUGUUUAAAAAGUGGCCAAUUCAGUGUAUGACACGUUUGCUAUGACUGCUCUGCUGGGUAUACUGUAAAAUCCAGGUUAACUUGGUAACUUUGGGGGUACCAUGUAUGUCAUUAUUUAUUUUAUGUUUAAUUUACGUUUAAGUGAAUAAAUAAUAAACCAUUUAGAAUGAUCACGUCUUUAAAAGAGAUAACAGGAAAUUCAUUUAUUAAAACUACAAUACAACAUUUCAUAAUCUUGGAGAAAUAGAAAAAAUAUGUUUCUGAGUUUUAUUUGGUGUUUU